CCUAGGGGGAGCAGCAGUGAGGAAUAUUGGUCAAUGGGCGGAAGCCUGAACCAGCCAAGCAGCGUGCAGGAUGACGGCCCUACGGGUUGUAAACUGCUUUUAUACGGGAAUAACGCGCCUUACGUGUAGGGCUUUGCAUGUACCGUAUGAAUAAGGACCGGCUAAUUCCGUGCCAGCAGCCGCCGUAAUACGGAAGGUCAGGCGGUUAUCCGGAUUUAUUGGGUUUAAAGGGAGCGUAGGCCGCAUGUCAAGCUUGCUGUGAAAUGUCCGGGCUCAACCCGGGCCUUGCAUCGCGAACUGGCGUGCUUGAGUCCGCGGAAAGCAGGCGGAAUUCGAUGUGUAGCGGUGAAAUGCUUAGAUAUGACGAAGAACCCCGAUUGCGAAGGCAGCUUGCUGCAGCGGAACUGACGCUGAUGCUCGAAAGCGCGGGUAUCGAACAGGAUUAGAUACCCGUGUAGUC
rnacentral:rRNA from 1 species